UUAACUCAAAUUUGUAUGGACUUGUAAUGUUUGCCUACGUUUGCCGCUAGGGGCGCUAUUCCAACUGCAAACAAAUUUGAGUUA
rfam:Bombyx mori DNA, contig: Bm_scaf97_contig35438, strain: p50T/Dazao, build 2, whole genome shotgun sequence.